rnacentral:tRNA from 1 species
GCACCCAUAGCUCAAUUGGAUAGAGCGGCGGUCUACGGAACCGCAGGUUUCAGGUUCGAAUCCUGAUGGGUGUA